GGGCUUAACGGCCGUCGGAAGGGUCGCGAGGAGGGCGGAAGUGAAGCCGGGGCCGCGAGGCGACGAUGUCCUCGGAAUCGGAAGCCAUGUCUCCGGAUGAGCUGCGCAAAAGGCUUUACCGGACUUUUAAGGAUCGCGGUAUUUUGGACACCCUCAAGACCCAGCUCCGAAACCAGCUGAUACAUGAAUUGAUGCAUCCUGUUUUAAAUGGAGAGCUUCAACCCAAGUCCAUUCCAGUCGAAGGGAGCUCACUGCUAAUCGGAGCCUCCAACAGCUUGGUGGCAGAUCACCUCCGCAGAUGCGGCUAUGAAUAUUCCCUGUCGGUUUUCUUCCCUGAGAGUGGUUUGGAGAAGGAAAAGGUAUUCACUAUGCAAGAUCUUCUGCAGUUGAUUAAAAUCAACCCCAAAUCCAGUCUCUACAAAUCACUGACUUCGGGUGUUCAAAAAGAGAACCACAAAGGGUUUCUCAUGCAGAUUUUAAUGGAGUUGGCCGAAUACCACCUGUCCAAGGAAAGUUGCAGUACUGGGACCCAAACAAACGCAACCUCACUUUAUGGGGAAUCUCUUGCUGAGAAGCUCCAGCUCAUUGAUGAACAAUUUGCAGAUAUUUAUCCCCAGCGUCAUAAAGCAGAAUCUUUGGAAGCAAAGCUCGCUGAAUACAAGAAAGGAAUAGAAGAGCAACUUCAAACAGAAAUGUCUCAAAAGUUGAAUCAUUUUAAAGAAGUUGAAAUAGCUAAAAUUAGAAUGGAAGAAAAGAGGAGGUCUCAGAAAGAAAUAUCCCAAUUGCGUCACGAAUUCGAGAAGACACACCAAGCAAAAUCAGAAGCCCUACUGUCUCGGGAAAAGAAUGCUAUUGAAAGACUUCAAAAACAUCAAGAGAUUGAAGCGAAAGAAGUUUAUGCACAAAGGCAGGAUCUUCUGAAAGAUAUUGAAAUAGUUAGAGGCAGAGAAGCAGAACUGAAGCAAAGAAUCGAAGCUUUUGAAUUGGCCCAAAGACUGCAAGAAGAGAAAAAUAAAAGUGUGGAUGAUGCCCUUCGGCGACGGGAGCUGAGUGUAAAGAACAUUGAGGACACGUAUGAGCAAAAGCUCAAAAAUGAACUCCUGAAAUAUCAACUUGAACUGAAAGAGGAGUAUACGAUCAGAUCUAAUAGGAUUACUGAAGAAGAGAGAAAGAAUAAAGAAAGAGCCAUGCAUUUGCAUGAGGAGACUCUUGCUUUCAAUUCCAAGAAGGAAGAUCUCAGGCAAGCUAUUGCUCAUGCCAGUGAGCUCAAGCUGGAAUUGGAUUCUGUUAAGGCCCAAGUUUUGGUGUUGACAAAGCAGAAUCACUUACUAACUGAAAAACUAAGGGAGACUACUGACUAUCCACUUUUAAAAGAGGAGAAACUGGAGUUUCAGAUGCAAAAUAAAUUACUUAAACAACAACUUGAAGAGAUUCGAAAUGAAAAUCUGCAUCUUCAAAACAGAUUAACUCAGCCAUCAGCUGAGCAUGUGGCCUUACAAGCAGAAUUAAAGAGAGCAGAAAAUGCUAGAAAACUUGAACAGAAGGAAUUUGAAACCCGAAAACAAGUUCUGGAAAAACAGCUACAAAAUGAGGUUGAGCAUUGUGCACAGCUGAAGAUCGAAUUAUUAGACUCUGAAACAUCUUUACGGAGGAUAAAUAUGCAGGUUGAAGACUUGAAAAUGCAACUGAGGCAAACACAAACAGCUCUAGAGAAUGAAGUAUAUCGCAACCCAAAGCCCUCUGUGGUCGAUCGCUCGGUAACUGACUUUACACGUGACAAGAUCGUACCUCAUGAUAUUUAUACAGAUGGCGACGAUCUCUUGAAGAAUCGACUUCUGUCUGGUCCUGUUGUUCAGGAAGAUGGUGUUCCCAGAACCAGGUAUUUCUCCCGUACCAGGACUGAAAGCAGUUCCCCCGAUUCUGACCUUGAGUUUGUGGCUAAUACCAAGGCCCGGGUAAAGGAACUAGAGAAAGAGGCAGCGUUUUUGGAAGAAGCCUAUAGAAAUUACCAACAAAGAGUUACUCAGGCUUCAGUUGUCAGCAUUCUACCAGCUAAGACUCAAGUCCCUUCACUUUUACCAGAGUCACUCAGGAGUGUGCCCUUGAACUUUCAAGAAAGAACUGUGUUCGUCGACAAUAAAUUUGUCUCAGAGCAGCUGGCUCACAGCGGCUUGAAUGAUAUUGGAAGUGCCAAACAUGCUUCACUGACAGGAAACCUAACUCCUCAACAAAGGAGAGUUUCUUCUCCCAGACGCCUUUCUUCCACUCCACUCCCAAAAGCAAGGAGAAGCCUCGCUAACCAGAUGUUUUUAGAAGGUAACGGCGGAUCCUAUGUUGCCACUCCUCAUCCCAGCCCUGGCCAACCCCCCUCUCCCAUUCCAAGAGCAGCUCAUCUUUCUUCUGCCACUUCAGCUCCCAGUCUCUCGCUGCCUUCUGGACCAGUCAGCCAGGAGCAGAAAUUGGGUAAACCUGAGUCUCCACCCUCGACUGUCUCCCGUGCCGCUGCUGCCCAGCACAGUCUCUCUCGAAAGCCAGUCGAGCAAGACACAACUGAAUUUUCCAAACCAGAGAUGCUAGGAUUUGAAGACCUUAAGGACCCUGAAUCUUCUCUUGAAUUUGAAGGGAAUAUUCCAAAGCAACUAGAAAUGGAUGUGUUAGAUCCAGAUGGAGAUACCGCCAGUGGGAACCAUGUCACAGCAGCAACCCCAGUGCAGCAAGGCAUAAUGGAACGCUUCCUUCACCAACAAGACCCAGAAGUGAUCCAUCAGAACCAGUUGGAAGAACAGAAUGAAGAGAAGGAAAAGAAGUGGGAAAUGGAACGGAGAGAAAGAGAAGAAAGAAGGCAGCGAGAAAGGCAGGAAGCUUUUGAGAGGGAACAAAGAGAACUAGAAAAGCUGGAGCAAGAAAUGAAGUUAAAUGAAGAAGCAUUACAGGUCGAAGAGCAAAAGGAAAGAGAGGGGGAAGAGUUAGUCGACAUCACUGAAACUGAAGGGAGACCAGCAGAAGUAAAUCCUUUAGAAAAAUACAUGAAAAUAAUCCAGCAGAGCAGAGAAAGAGGUUUAGCAGAGAAGGUCUCGCACACACCCCAGAACUCAAAAAAGGAAGUGGAAGAAACAUCCAUCAUGGAGACUUUGUUGUCUAAUGAAAAUGAUGCAAGCAUUGCCGGCUUUUCUCACGAAGAACCCGAUGAUUUCUGGUGAUGGGACUUGCUCCUGCCCAGGCUCCUGCUGCCUUGAAAACCACUUCAUAUCGAUUGACCCGAAAACAGCCCAUUUCACAGCAACCGGCCCCUCUCCACCUCCGCUGCCUGAGCUUUUCCCAGCCGGGAGCAGCAGCCACCUACCCAGAAGACCCCAAGACUGCGGGCCGGGACCCUUCGAGGGGGCAGGGCCCAAGGGUGAAAUCUGGGGCCCGGCUCGUUUCCGAUACUCAGCGGCGGCCCUUCUCCCCAUUCGUCGUCCCUGCCGAAAAGUGAACCAACUCGAGUCCCUCCUCCUUACUGGCCGCAGAAACCUAAAAUUGAGUGAGCCCGUUUAGAGCUGCAAAUAUAAAGGCCACAGCACUUGAA